rnacentral:rRNA from 1 species
GGAGGCAGCAGUGGGGAAUAUUGCACAAUGGGCGAAAGCCUGAUGCAGCGACGCCGCGUGAGGGAUGACGGCCUUCGGGUUGUAAACCUCUUUCAGCAGGGAAGAAGCGAAAGUGACGGUACCUGCAGAAGAAGCGCCGGCUAACUACGUGCCAGCAGCCGCGGUAAUACGUAGGGCGCAAGCGUUGUCCGGAAUUAUUGGGCGUAAAGAGCUCGUAGGCGGCUUGUCACGUCGGAUGUGAAAGCCCGGGGCUUAACCCCGGGUCUGCAUUCGAUACGGGCAGGCUAGAGUGCGGUAGGGGAGAUCGGAAUUCCUGGUGUAGCGGUGAAAUGCGCAGAUAUCAGGAGGAACACCGGUGGCGAAGGCGGAUCUCUGGGCCGUUACUGACGCUGAGGAGCGAAAGCGUGGGGAGCGAACAGGAUUAGAUACCCUGGUAGUCCACGCCGUAAACGUUGGGAACUAGGUGUGGGCGACAUUCCACGUUGUCCGUGCCGCAGCUAACGCAUUAAGUGCCCCGCCUGGGG